rnacentral:rRNA from 1 species
UACGUAGGGUGCAAGCGUUGUCCGGAAUUACUGGGCGUAAAGGGCGCGUAGGCGGCCAUCUAAGUCAGACGUGAAAUCCCCCGGCUUAACCUGGGAACUGCGUCUGAUACUGGAAGGCUUGAGUAUGGGAGAGGGAUGUAGAAUUCCAGGUGUAGCGGUGAAAUGCGUAGAUAUCUGGAGGAAUACCGGUGGCGAAGGCGGCAUCCUGGACCAUUACUGACGCUGAGGCGCGAAAGCUAGGGGAGCAAACGGG